AAUAAGUUUAGGUUUGUGUCUAACAUUAGGCUGUACUUCUUGUUUGAAUUUUUUUUAUAAUUAGUAUUUUUGUCGUUAUUACUUAUUAUAUAACAAAACAUGAAUAGCAUUUUACACAUGACUUAUUUUUUUCAUAAAAUUUUCAAAUAAGGCAAACGGGCAAACGUUGGAGACAGAAACCCACAAAUGAAUUAUUU
rfam:Oryza glumipatula chromosome 8, whole genome shotgun sequence.